GCCUGCGUCCCAUUAGCUAGUUGGUGGGGUAACGGCCCUACCAAGGCAACGAUGGGUAGCCGAUCUGAGAGGAUGAUCGGCCACACUGGAACUGAAACACGGUCCAGACUCCUACGGGAGGCAGCAGUGGGGAAUAUUGCGCAAUGGGCGAAAGCCUGACGCAGCGACGCCGCGUGAGGGAUGAAGGUCUUCGGAUCGUAAACCUCUGUUAGAAGGGAAGAAACUAGGGUGCUCUAAUCAUCAUCCUACUGACGGUACCUUCAAAGGAAGCACCGGCUAACUCCGUGCCAGCAGCCGCGGUAAUACGGAGGGUGCAAGCGUUAAUCGGAAUCACUGGGCGUAAAGCGCACGUAGGCUGUUAUGUAAGUCAGGGGUGAAAUCCCACGGCUCAACCGUGGAACUGCCCUUGAUACUGCACGACUUGAAUCCGGGAGAGGGUGGCGGAAUUCCAGGUGUAGGAGUGAAAUCCGUAGAUAUCUGGAGGAACAUCAGUGGCGAAGGCGGCCACCUGGACCGGUAUUGGCGCUGAGGUGCGAAAGAGUGGGGAGCAAACAGGAUUAGAUACCCUGGUAG
rnacentral:rRNA from 1 species